rnacentral:rRNA from 1 species
GUACCCGCUGGAUUAAGCAUAUCAAUAAGCGGAGGAAAAGAAACCAACAGGGAUUGCCCCAGUAACGGCGAGUGAAGCGGCAGGAGCUCAAAUUUGAAAUCUGGGGUCCUCGGCCUCCGAGUUGUAAUUUGGAGAGGCUUCUUCUGGGGGGAGCGCUGGCCCAUGUUCCUUGGAACAGGACGUCGCAGAGGGUGAGAAUCCCGUGCCAGGCCGGCUGCCUCCUCCCGCAUGAAGGGCCUUCGACGAGUCGAGUUGUUUGGGAAUGCAGCUCCAAGUGGGUGGUAAAUUUCAUCUAAAGCUAAAUACCGGCGGGAGACCGAUAGCGCACAAGUAGAGUGAUCGAAAGAUGAAAAGCACUUUGAAAAUAGAGUCAAAAAGUACGUGAAAUUGUUGAAAGGGAAGCGCUUGAGACCAGACUCAGACCCGAGCAAACAUCGCGCCCCCCGGGGCCGUGCAAUUGCCUGGGGCUGGGCCAGCAUCAGUUGGCGUGGCGGGAAAAGGGCGCGGGAAAUGUGGCUCCCCUCGGGGAGUGUUAUUAGGCCCGCGCCGGAUGCCGCCGACGCCGACUGAGGACCGCGCCUCGGCUAGGAUGCUGCU